CGCUGCGGCGUGCCUAAUACAUGCAAGUCGAACGGUCUUUCUAUGGAAGCUUGCUUCCACUGAGAGGAUAGUGGCGGACGGGUGAGUAACACGUGGGUAACCUGCCCAUAAGAGGGGGAUAACAUCCGGAAACGGGUGCUAAUACCGCAUAGUUUUCUUGAUCGCAUGAUUGAGAAAGGAAAGACGGCCUUUGUGCUGUCGCUUAUGGAUGGACCCGCGGCGUAUUAGUUAGUUGGUGAGGUAAUGGCUCACCAAGACGAUGAUACGUAGCCGACCUGAGAGGGUGAUCGGCCACAUUGGGACUGAGACACGGCCCAAACUCCUACGGGAGGCAGCAGUAGGGAAUCUUCCGCAAUGGACGAAAGUCUGACGGAGCAACGCCGCGUGAGUGAAGAAGGUUUUUCCGGAUCGUAAAACUCUGUUGUCAGAGAAGAACAAGUUGGAGAGUAACUGCUCCAGCCUUGACGGUAUCUGACCAGAAAGCCACGGCUAACUACGUGCCAGCCGCAGC
rnacentral:rRNA from 1 species